rnacentral:rRNA from 1 species
GUAACACGUAGUCAACAUGCCCAGGGGACGUGGAUAACCUCGGGAAACUGAGGAUAAACCGCGAUAGGUCACUACUUCUGGAAUGGGUAAUGACUCAAACCUAUAUGGCCCCUGGAUUGGACUGCGGCCGAUCAGGCUGUUGGUGAGGUAAUGGCCCACCAAACCUGUAACCGGUACGGGCUCCGAGAGGAGGAGCCCGGAGAUGGGCACUGAGACAAGGGCCCAGGCCCUAUGGGGCGCAGCAGGCGCGAAACCUCUGCAAAAGGCGAAAGCCUGACAGGGUUACUCUGAGUGAUCUCCGUUAAGGAGAUCUUUUGGCACCUCUAAAAAUGGUGCAGAAUAAGGGGUGGGCAAGUCUGGUGUCAGCCGCCGCGGUAAUACCAGCACCCCGAGUGGUCGGGACGUUUAUUGGGCCUAAAGCAUCCGUAGCCGGUUCUACAAGUCUUCCGUUAAAUCCAGCUGCUUAACAGAUGGGCUGCGGAAGAUACUAUGGAGCU